rnacentral:rRNA from 1 species
GAUCCAUGGCUCAGGAUGAACGCUAGCUACAGGCUUAACACAUGCAAGUCGAGGGGAAACGACAUCGAAAGCUUGCUUUUGAUGGGCGUCGACCGGCGCACGGGUGAGUAACGCGUAUUCAACCUGCCCAUCACUUGGGAAUAACCUUGCGAAAGUAAGACUAAUGCCCAAUGAUAUCCCACGAAGGCAUCCGAAUAGGAUUAAAGAUUUAUCGGUGAUGGAUGGGGAUGCGU